UACGAAGGGUGCAAGCGUUAAUCGGAAUUACUGGGCGUAAAGCGCGCGUAGGUGGUUCAGUAAGUUGGAAGUGAAAUCCCCGGGCUCAACCUGGGAACUGCUUUCAAAACUGCUGAGCUAGAGUACGGUAGAGGGUGGUGGAAUUUCCUGUGUAGCGGUGAAAUGCGUAGAGAUUUGGAGGAAUACCAGUGGCGAAGGCGACCACCUGGACUGAUACUGACACUGAGGUGCGAAAGCGUGGGGAGCAAACAGG
rnacentral:rRNA from 1 species